rnacentral:rRNA from 1 species
UGGGGAAACCCAGGCUAAUACCGCAUACGUCCUACGGGAGAAAGGGGGCUCCGGCUCCGCUAUUGGAUGAGCCUAUGUCGGAUUAGCUAGUUGGUGAGGUAAAGGCUCACCAAGGCGACGAUCCGUAGCUGGUCUGAGAGGAUGAUCAGCCACAUCGGGACUGAGACACGGCCCGAACUCCUACGGGAGGCAGCAGUGGGGAAUAUUGGACAAUGGGCGAAAGCCUGAUCCAGCCAUGCCGCGUGUGUGAAGAAGGCCCUCGGGUUGUAAAGCACUUUCAGCGAGGAAGAACGCCUAGUGGUUAAUACCCAUUAGGAAAGACAUCACUCGCAGAAGAAGCACCGGCUAACUCCGUGCCAGCAGCCGCGGUAAUACGGAGGGUGCAAGCGUUAAUCGGAAUUACUGGGCGUAAAGCGCGCGUAGGUGGCUUGAUAAGCCGGUUGUGAAAGCCCCGGGCUCAACCUGGGAACGGCAUCCGGAACUGUCAAGCUAGAGUGCAGGAGAGGAAGGUAGAAUUCCCGGUGUAGCGGUGAAAUGCGUAGAGAUCGGGAGGAAUACCAGUGGCGAAGGCGGCCUUCUGGACUGACACUGACACUGAGGUGCGAAAGCGUGGGUAGCAAACAGGAUUAGAUACCCUGGUAGUCCACGCCGUAAACGAUGUGCGACCAGCCGUUGGGUGCCUAGCGCACUUUGUGGCGAAGUUAACGCGAUAAGUCGACCGCCUGGGGAGUACGGCCGCAAGGUUAAAACUCAAAUGAAUUGACGGGGGCCCGCACAAGCGGUGGAGCAUGUGGUUUAAUUCUAUGCAACGCGAAGAACCCUACCUACUCUUGACAUCCUGCGAACUUGUGAGAGAUCACUUGGUGCCUUCG